UACGUAGGGUGCGGGCGUUGUCCGGAAUUACUGGGCGUAAAGAGCCCGUAGGUGGUUUGUCGCGUUGUUCGUGAAAUCUCACGGCUUAACUGUGAGCGUGCGGGCGAUACGGGCAGACUUGAGUACUGCAGGGGAGACUGGAAUUCCUGGUGUAGCGGUGGAAUGCGCAGAUAUCAGGAGGAACACCGGUGGCGAAGGCGGGUCUCUGGGCAGUAACUGACGCUGAGGAGCGAAAGCGUGGGGAGCGAACAGG
rnacentral:rRNA from 1 species